rnacentral:rRNA from 1 species
UACGUAGGGUGCGAGCGUUAAUCGGAAUUACUGGGCGUAAAGCGUGCGCAGGCGGUUGGUUAAGUCUGAUGUGAAAGCCCCGGGCUCAACCUGGGAAUGGCAUUGGAAACUGGCUGGCUAGAGUGUGGCAGAGGGGGGUGGAAUUCCGCGUGUAGCAGUGAAAUGCGUAGAGAUGCGGAGGAACACCGAUGGCGAAGGCAGCCCCCUGGGCUAGCACUGACGCUCAGGCACGAAAGCGUGGGGAGCAAACGGG